UGGAGGUUGUCUGGAAAGAGACUUUUCCCGCGGCUUCUCUGAUUAACACUUUCCGCAGCGGCCGCCACCGUCCCCGACUCCUCCCCCCACAGACAUCUGAUCUCCGAAUCGGAGCACAGGAGCAAGCCAGCCGCGGGAAAAGCCUCUCCAGAGUCCAGACACCCUCCUCACACAGAUUUUGCCUGCCAGGAGUUUCCAAAGAUUUCUGGCAACA